ensembl:piRNA 21ur-4714 ncRNA
UGGUAAAAUCUCUGUCUCUCA